UACGUAGGGUGCGAGCGUUAAUCGGAAUUACUGGGCGUAAAGCGUGCGCAGGCGGUUCGUUAAGUUCGAUGUGAAAGCCCCGGGCUCAACCUGGGAACUGCAUUGGAAACUGGCGAGCUUGAAUGAGGCAGAGGGGGGUGGAAUUCCGCGUGUAGCAGUGAAAUGCGUAGAGAUGCGGAGGAACACCGAUGGCGAAGGCAGCCCCCUGGGCCGACAUUGACGCUCAGGCACGAAAGCGUGGGGAGCAAACAGG
rnacentral:rRNA from 1 species